UACGGGGGGGGCAAGCGUUGUUCGGAAUUACUGGGCGUAAAGGGCUCGUAGGCGGCCAACUAAGUCGGACGUGAAAUCCCUCGGCUUAACCGGGGAACUGCGUCCGAUACUGGAUGGCUUGAGUAUGGGAGAGGGAUGCGGAAUUCCAGGUGUAGCGGUGAAAUGCGUAGAUAUCUGGAGGAACACCAAUGGCGAAGGCAGCUCGCUGGGACGGUACUGACGCUGAGACGCGAAAGCGUGGGGAGCAAACAGG
rnacentral:rRNA from 1 species